rnacentral:rRNA from 1 species
AUUGAACGCUGGCGGCAGGCCUAACACGUGCAAGUCGAGCGGAUGAAGGGAGCUUGCUCCUGGAUUCAGCGGCGGACGGGUGAGUAAUGCCUAGGAAUCUGCCUGGUAGUGGGGGAUAACGUCCGGAAACGGGCGCUAAUACCGCAUACGUCCUGAGGGAGAAAGUGGGGGAUCUUCGGACCUCACGCUAUCAGAUGAGCCUAGGUCGGAUUAGCUAGUUGGUGGGGUAAAGGCCUACCAAGGCGACGAUCCGUAACUGGUCUGAGAGGAUGAUCAGUCACACUGGAACUGAGACACGGUCCAGACUCCUACGGGAGGAAGCAGUGGGGAAUAUUGGACAAUGGGCGAAAGCCUGAUCCAGCCAUGCCGCGGGUGUGAAGAAGGUCUUCGGAUUGUAAAGCACUUUAAGUUGGGAGGAAGGGAAGUAAGUUAAUACCUUGCUGUUUUGACGUUACCAACAGAAUAAGCACCGGCUAACUUCGUG